rnacentral:rRNA from 1 species
UACGUAGGGGGCUAGCGUUGUCCGGAUUUAUUGGGCGUAAAGAGCGUGUAGGCGGCCAGGUAGGUCUGGUGUGAAAACUCGAGGCUUAACCUCGAGAUGUCAUCGGAAACCAUCUGGCUAGAGUCCGGAAGAGGAGAGUGGAAUUCCUGGUGUAGCGGUGAAAUGCGCAGAUAUCAGGAAGAACACCAAUGGCGAAAGCAGUUCUCUGGGACGGUACUGACGCUGAGACGCGAAAGCGUGGGGAGCGAACAGG